rnacentral:rRNA from 1 species
UACGUAGGGGGCAAGCGUUGUCCGGAAUCAUUGGGCGUAAAGAGCGCGUAGGCGGCCCUGUAAGUCCGCUGUGAAAGUCAAGGGCUCAACCCUUGAAUGCCGGUGGAUACUGCAGGGCUAGAGUCCGGAAGAGGCGAGUGGAAUUCCUGGUGUAGCGGUGGAAUGCGCAGAUAUCAGGAGGAACACCGAUGGCGAAGGCAGCUCGCUGGGACGGUACUGACGCUGAGGCGCGAAAGCGUGGGGAGCGAACAGG